rnacentral:miRNA from 1 species
CCUGUCACUUCUAUAGGCCAAU